UAGAGUUGAUCCUGGCUCAGGAUGAACGCUGGCGGCGUGCCUAACACAUGCAAGUCGAACGGAGCUUUAGAGAAGGAGUUCUUCGGAACAACGACUUUAAAGCUUAGUGGCGGACGGGUGAGUAACGCGUGAGCAACCUGCCUUUCAGAGGGGGAUAACAUUUGGAAACAGAUGCUAAUACCGCAUAACAUUGCGAUGUCGCAUGGCAACGCAAUCAAAGGAGCAAUCCGCUGAGAGAUGGGCUCGCGUCCGAUUAGAUAGUUGGUGAGGUAACGGCUCACCAAGUCGACGAUCGGUAGCCGGACUGAGAGGUUGAACGGCCACAUUGGGACUGAGACACGGCCCAGACUCCUACGGGAGGCAGCAGUGGGGAAUAUUGCACAAUGGGCGAAAGCCUGAUGCAGCAACGCCGCGUGAGGGAAGACGGUUUUCGGAUUGUAAACCUCUGUUUUCGGUGACGAAGAAUGACGGUAACCGAGUAGGAAGCCACGGCUAACUACGUGCCAGCAGCCGCGGUAAUACGUAGGUGGCAAGCGUUAUCCGGAAUUACUGGGUGUAAAGGGAGCGCAGGCGGGAUAGCAAGUCAGCGGUGAAAAUUAUGGGCUCAACCCAUAAACUGCCGUUGAAACUGUUAUUCUUGAGUGGAGUAGAGGCAAGCGGAAUUCCGAGUGUAGCGGUGAAAUGCGUAGAUAUUCGGAGGAACACCAGUGGCGAAAGGCGGCUUGCUGGGCUCUAACUGACGCUGAGGCUCGAAAGUGUGGGGAGCAAACAGGAUUAGAUACCCUGGUAGUCCACACUGUAAACGAUGAUUGCUAGGUGUGGGGGGUCUGACCCCCUCCGUGCCGGAGUUAACGCAAUAAGCAAUCCACCUGGGGAGUACGGCCGCAAGGUGAAACUC
rnacentral:rRNA from 1 species